GACGAACGCUGGCGGCGUGCUUAACACAUGCAAGUCGAACGGAAAGGCCCUGCUUUUGUGGGGUGCUCGAGUGGCGAACGGGUGAGUAACACGUGAGUAACCUGCCCUUGACUUUGGGAUAACUUCAGGAAACUGGGGCUAAUACCGGAUAGGAGCUCCUGCUGCAUGGUGGGGGUUGGAAAGUUUCGGCGGUUGGGGAUGGACUCGCGGCUUAUCAGCUUGUUGGUGGGGUAGUGGCUUACCAAGGCUUUGACGGGUAGCCGGCCUGAGAGGGUGACCGGCCAAAUGGGGACGGAGAUACGGCCCAGACUCCUACGGGGGGAAGCAGUGGGGAAUAUGGAACAAGGGGCGGAGGCCGGAGGCAGCACGCCGCGUGCGGGAUGACGGCCUUCGGGUUGUAAACCGCUUUCGCCUGUGACGAAGCGUGAGUGACGGUAAUGGGUAAAGAAGCACCGGCUAACUACGUG
rnacentral:rRNA from 1 species